rnacentral:rRNA from 1 species
ACGUGAGAAUCUGCCCUUAGGAGAAGAAUAACUACUGGAAACGGUUGCUAAAUCUUCAUAUACCGAGAGGUGAAAUAGCUUCGGCUGCCAAAGGAUGAGCUCGCGCCUGAUUAGCUAGUUGGUAAGGUAACGGCUUACCAAGGCCACGAUCAGUAGCUGGUUUGAGAGAACGAUCAGCCACACUGGGACUGAGACACGGCCCAGACUCCUACGGGAGGCAGCAGUGGGGAAUAUUGCACAAUGGGCGCAAGCCUGAUGCAGCCAUGCCGCGUGUGUGAAGAAGGCCUUCGGGUUGUAAAG